rnacentral:rRNA from 1 species
GAUGAACGCUGGCGGCGUGCUUAACACAUGCAAGUCGAACGGUGAACACGGAGCUUGCUCUGUGGGAUCAGUGGCGAACGGGUGAGUAACACGUGAGCAACCUGCCCCUGACUCUGGGAUAAGCGCUGGAAACGGCGUCUAAUACUGGAUAUGUGACGUGACCGCAUGGUCUGCGUUUGGAAAGAUUUUUCGGUUGGGGAUGGGCUCGCGGCCUAUCAGCUUGUUGGUGAGGUAAUGGCUCACCAAGGCGUCGACGGGUAGCCGGCCUGAGAGGGUGACCGGCCACAUUGGGACUGAGACACGGCCCAGACUCCUACGGGAGGCAGCAGUGGGGAAUAUUGCACAAUGGGCGCAAGCCUGAUGCAGCAACGCCGCGUGAGGGAUGACGGCCUUCGGGUUGUAAACCUCUUUUAGCAGGGAAGAAGCGAAAGUGACGGUACCUGCAGAAAAAGCGCCGGCUAACUACGUG